rnacentral:rRNA from 1 species
AAUCAACGCUGGCGGCGUGCCUAACACAUGCAAGUCGAACGAGAAAGUGGAGCAAUCCAUGAGUAAAGUGGCGCACGGGUGAGUAACACGUGACUAACCUACCCUUGAGUGGGGAAUAACUUCGGGAAACCGAGGCUAAUACCGCAUAACACCUACGGGUCAAAGGAGCAAUUCGCUUAAGGAGGGGGUCGCGGCAGAUUAGUUAGUUGGCGGGGUAAUGGCCCACCAAGACGGUGAUCUGUAUCCGGCCUGAGAGGGCGCACGGACACACUGGAAC